GUGGUAUGUAAAAGUUAUAUAUAAUUAAAUGAUAUAAUUAUAGUUCUUGUUAGUUUUUGUUUCAGAGGGUUAUAAUUAAAUGAUAGAAUGAUGAAUCAUGAAUUACAAAACGAUGUAUAUUUUGUCUCCGACGAGAAUCCGGUGGGAUUGUGUUAGUUAGUUGCACAUGGUUGAAGAAAAACAGAAGAACAGGAUGGUGGUGGAAGAUGUUGUAAAAUAUAGUGUUGAGAGACUAUGAUAAUAUUAUGUUUCUAACUUGAUCUAAUGAUCCAAAAAAAAUUUCCUAUGAUGGGAAAGGAUUUCCCUUUCCCAUAUUAAAUGUCACCGAUAUCGUUUGUUUAUUUC
rnacentral:lncRNA from 1 species